rnacentral:rRNA from 1 species
GAAUUUUGGACAAUGGGGGAAACCCUGAUCCAGCCAUCCCGCGUGUGCGAUGAAGGCCUUCGGGUUGUAAAGCACUUUUGGCAGGGAAGAAAAGGUUCUGGCUAAUACCCGGAACUGCUGACGGUCCCUGCAGAAUAAGCACCGGCUAACUACGUUCCAGCAGCCGCGGUAAUACGUAGGGUGCAAGCGUUAAUCGGAAUUCCUGGGCGUAAAGCGUGCGCAGGCGGUUUGGCAAGAAGGAUGUGAAAUCCCAGGGCUUAACCUUGGAACUGCAUUCUUAACUGCCAGGCUAGAGUAUGUCAGAGGGGGGUAGAAUUCCGCGUGUAGCAGUGAAAUGCGUAGAGAUGCGGAGGAAUACCGAUGGCGAAGGCAGCCAUCUGGCCUAAUACUGACGCUGAGGUACGAAAGCAUGGGGAGCAAACAG